AGGAUGAACGCUGGCGGUAUGCUUUACACAUGCAAGUCGAACGCAAGUUUUUAACUUGAGUGGCGGACGGGUGAGUAACACGUGAGAAUUCACCUUUAGGUGGGGAAUAACUUUUGGAAACGAUAGCUAAUGCCCCAUAGACUCGAAAGAGAAAAAAGAGCAAUCUGCCUAAAGAGAAGCUCGCGGCUGAUUAGCUAGUUGGUAAGGUAAUGGCUUACCAAGGCGACGAUCAGUAGCUGGUUUGAGAGAACGAUCAGCCACACUGGAACUGAGACACGGUCCAGACUCCUACGGGAGGCAGCAGUGAGGAAUUUUCCGCAAUGGGCGAAAGCCUGACGGAGCGACGCCGCGUGUGGGAUGAAGGCCUUCGGGUCGUAAACCACUGUCGAAGGGGACGAUAUUGACGGUACCCUUGGAGGAAGCCCCGGCUAACUACGUGCCAGCAGCCGC
rnacentral:rRNA from 1 species